GAUGAACGCUGGCGGCGUGCCUAAUACAUGCAAGUCGAGCGAACAGACGAGGAGCUUGCUCCUCUGACGUUAGCGGCGGACGGGUGAGUAACACGUGGAUAACCUACCUAUAAGACUGGGAUAACUUCGGGAAACCGGAGCUAAUACCGGAUAAUAUAUUGAACCGCAUGGUUCAAUAGUGAAAGACGGUUUUGCUGUCACUUAUAGAUGGAUCCGCGCCGCAUUAGCUAGUUGGUAAGGUAACGGCUUACCAAGGCAACGAUGCGUAGCCGACCUGAGAGGGUGAUCGGCCACACUGGAACUGAGACACGGUCCAGACUCCUACGGGAGGCAGCAGUAGGGAAUCUUCCGCAAUGGGCGAAAGCUUGACGGAGCAACACCGCGUGAGUGAUGAAGGUCUUCGGAUCGUAAAAUUCUGUUAUUAGGGAAGAACAAAUGUGUAAGUAACUAUGCACGUCUUGACGGUACCUAAUCAGAAAGCCACGGCUAACUACGUG
rnacentral:rRNA from 1 species